CCAACCAAUAACAUCCACCAAGGCUUACCAUGAACCUGAACAAGAACUUCCAGCCAAACACGAAUUAUGCAGAACCUAUCACCAAACAUUAACAACCAGUACAAACAAGGCUGCAAUCAUUCACGUGACCAUAUUAACACAUUGCAAUACAAGAUCAAGCAACUGACAUAACUUGUAAUAGAAUUGACGACUAACGACAACGACCCUCCAACCAAAAC
rnacentral:lncRNA from 1 species